CUCCCAGCUCAGUACUCCUCCAGCCAGACUGUGAUCCUUGGGAUCUGGUCACUUGCCACACGCAUUGCUGAGCCAUUCCUUCUUUUGGGCUGUUCUUUCUCUCCAGAGUUGCUUUCUUUUUCAGAAGCCCUGCCUUCUGAAAUCCACUUUAUUCUUUAAAGUUGAAAACAAUGGACAUUUCUGUGCUUCUUCACAGGCAUCAUUUCAAGCUGGGCUACAUUUCUCCCACUGGAUCAGACCCUGAAAUAAUCUGGUGAUUUGUAGGCUAUUCCUUCCUAUUUAAGAGUGAGCUCCAUCAAAUCUGAUCAGAAAACUGUGCUCUUCAACUAUAACAAGACCCACUGGUAUUUUCUGCCUGAGGGCUUUUAUCAGGACCAAAAAGCAGAAGCUGCUUGAAGUCAGUGCCUCUUCCUCUAUUUUUCUUAACAUGACAAGCUUCUUGAAAAGAUGCUGCUGUGGAUCCCAGAGGUGAGGGCAGAGAGGAGAGCUGGGGAGGGGAGGUGUUGCAGUGGCCAGGAGCAAGGCAUUGUGGCACUGCCCCAGGGGGCCUGCAGGACCAGGGUUGGCAGCUCAGGGAGGCUAGAGUCCAGGCACGUGGGUUUCCAGUGUCACCAAAGAUGCUCAUGCUUUGGUGAUAACCAAUGUGGAAAACCACUGGGAAAGCUUCGGUGUAUGAAACCCCAAUAAUUUGGCCCAGCCAUGUGGGAGUAAGGAGAAGGAAGCCCUAAUACCUGAGACUGAACAAGAGCUCAAUAGUAGAACACUCAGAAGAAGGAUUGAAAGAAAACAGCAAUGUGCUUCUUUUUCACACCUGAGUCUGGACUGCGUUAUCCUGUUGCAAAUGGCUGUGCAGACACACCAGGAGACUGAGGCCGAAGAUCUGGAGGGUUUCCUGUGCUGUCCUCUGCAGGCCAGUGGAUCCUGAGUGGAUCCCAUCCCAUUACUAACAUGCACUUGACACUGAAUCUAGAAUUAGGGAGCCCAUUGGUAGCCAUGGUUCCGCCUUGAGCCAGUCUCCUCACUUCUCUGGUCACUGGUUCCUUCGGAGGCUCCAAGCUGCCCCGAGGUGCUGGGGUGGGGGGCGAUGGCUUCUAUCUGAAGAGAGCUGGGUGGGAGCUACAGCACUGAGGAGAAGACACAGCCGUAAGGACAUGGGCUGCUGAUGUUCUCCAGUCUCCUGGGGAUUCUCCUAACAAUUUCAAGAUAAGACUUGAGAGACAUGUAACAGGUAGAGAAAACAGCUUAACGGACUUAAACUCAUCUGCCACUAGAAGUUUGUAUGAGCCUCUGUGGAAACACUUCAGCUAUAAGGCCCUGGCUUCUGUGUCUGUUAAGAAGUUCCACGUAUCAUAGCUCUUUGUUUCAUUCCCAACAAGGGCAUUUUCUUCUGGGUGCCAAGUCUGCAACUGUACGCCCAGGUCCUGAUGGUUGGAAGUAAGCUUCAGUUCUCCUGAAAAU